CUUGGAUGGUGCUACUCACCGCAAACCACAGUCCGUCAUGAAUUGCCGUGUGUUCCUCAGACACAAAGCAAACGGCCGCUUCCCUGCUCCUUGGAGACAUCUCGCCUCUAAAUCUUGAAACUGCCAAGCCCCAGCUGGCCAGACCCCCGGCCGAGU
rnacentral:lncRNA from 1 species